ACUGUAAUGAAUGUAAUACUAUAAUGAAUGCAAUACUGUAAUGAAUGCAAUUUCAAGUUUUUUUUUGGCUAGCCAGUAUGAAAAGUUAACCUGCUGAUGUUUUAUUUUUCCAUUCUUGCACCAGCUCAAUAAGUUUUUCUUCUGAAGUUAGCAUUUACACUUUCUUUUACUCACUACUUACUGCUCUCCUAAUGCUGUGCUUAAAGAGUCCUAUCUCCAUCCUUGCUAUCUCUGCCACUUAUAAAAUGUAAUUUUAUCUUUACAUACACUAACCUAAAUAAUUUCUGAUGAUUACAUAUUUUUUAACUUUUUGAAUCUUAACAAACCUUGCAACUGAAGUGGCACAGCAACAUGAAUAACAAAUUCUUUGUUACAUAUUUAUUAUAAAAAAUAGACCAGCUGGUUAACAUGGUAUUUAACAUGAAAAUUCUUUAAUUAGAUGUUCAGGUACUUUAGCAAGCUGUUGUGUACCUGCUACAGGGGGAGUGUCUCCUGUGUUCCACAGACCAAGGAACCAGGCAUAGAUUGUCUAAAAUAUGACAGAGAAAUAUCAGGAUCCCAGACUGAGUGCUGUACACUUGUAAACAUAUGCUUACGGCAUGCUCUUUCUUAGUUCAUCAGUAGUACUACAUGUUACUUUAUAUUUCAUUGUAUUUUUGGUUAUGUUUUGGGGGUUAUGUAGGCCAUAAGCCACCAGCAUAACAGUAUGUGCUGCACAUAUGCAAAUAUGUGCUCAAUAAUAACCCACAAGGAGAGAGAAACUCGGGAGAUUGAUUGAUCUGUAUAUUUCGACCCCCUUCUGCUGCUUGAAAUCAGUCUCCUGUGUUUCUGUCUCCAUGUGGGUUAUUAUUGAGCACUGACAAGUGUUCAUUACACUUUAGUUAUUCAUGCAAAUAUAUACUUAGCACUAGACAGUUGAAUAUCAUUUUCAAGUUACAUUAUUAAUAUUGUACUAUGUGAUGUUAUGUUAUGCAGUGUGGCCGGGAAAAUGACCCACUCCCCACCUUCCUACACAAUCACUAUGCUCAAGACUCUCAAAAUGAUGUACCUAUACUAUACUGUACUCUCUUAUAUAUAUAAUGCAAUACUGCAUUACAGGGUAUAAUACUGUUUUUAUUAUAUAUACAGUACAGUAUUGCAUACAGGGUAUAUAUACUGUAUCUAACAUAUAUUUAAAUUUUAUUUAAAGUGAGUGAAAUACUUUUAUAUUAAUACUUGUACAUUACAGUACAAUAUGUAUAUGAAAACAUGGUUAUACAUGUUUGUGUUUUGACUCAAGACCUGGUACUGUGGUGUAGAGUGAGGUGUAGAAGUGUGGAGUGUAGGUGCGGUGGAGUGAGGUGUAGGGGUGCAGAGUGAGGAGUAGGCAAGUAAAGUGAAUUGUAUGGGUGCAGAGUGAGGUGUAGGGGUGCAGAGUGAGGUGUAGAGGUGCAGAGUGAGGUAAAGAAGCUUCCUAUCUCCCCAUCAACAAAAAUUUCCUUUAAAUUACAAGAAAGGCAUCAUGCAAGUCUUAAACAUUUAAGAUCAUUUAAAUGACUACUCAUUGCUUGCUCUAAAAAGUAACAAGUAUACAUAAAAGAGGCUUUUUUUAGUAUGCUUAUGCCAGAGAUGUGUAAAGAAAAUGAAGAGGAAAGAAAAAGCUUACACCAGAUAGGUAAAGAAACCAGAGCAGGAAGACAGCUGCUUACACCAGAGAUAGGUAAAGAAACCAGAGCAGGAAGACAACAGUUUACACCAGAGAUAUGUAAAGCAAGUGAAUCAGGAAAGACAAACAUUAAUAAGAACACAACAUAUAAACAAAAAGAGGAAAAUAGGAAUCUUAGAAGGGUAUACACACAAACAGACAACAUACCACUAAGCAGCUGCAGAACGAGUGAUAUCCAAGAACAAGAUUUUCUGCAGUACAAUGUUCUGUUCUAAGCCCUAUUAACAGUACUAUAGUCCCAAAUAAUGGUCCUUAUAUACAACAUAAAAUUAUCAUUACCCUAUUCUACCACUUCUCAAUAUAUUUAUCAUUCUCUUGUAUCUACCUGUCCUGUACUAUCUUUUCAUAAUCCAAUUAAUUUGCCUGAAUACACAUGGAGGUACAGUACAAUGGGCGCAAAAUAUGUAAACUUAAGUGAUGUCAGAAAAUAUCCACUGGUCUAUCAUUGUAUAGCGAAUAAUGUUGAAAGUUUCUCUCAUGUGCUACUGUGCUUGGGGUUUGCAGAAAUUUAGGUAUGGUCAAUUAACCCUUUGAGGGUCAAGAGGCCCUCUCCCAAACCCGUUCUCAGGGUCGGAAAAAAGAAAAGAAAAAAAAAAAUGAAUGAUUUUUUCUUACGAAA